GCAGCUGUGGCCUACUGGUUAGGGCUUCAGGCUUAUAACCGAAGGGUUGCCGGUUCGAUCUAACCUGACUCUCGCC
rnacentral:tRNA from 1 species